rnacentral:rRNA from 1 species
CCUACGGGAGGCAGCAGUGGGGAAUUUUUCACAAUGGGGGAAACCCUGAUGCAGCAAAGCCGCGUGAAUGAAGACGGUUUUCGGAUUGUAAACUUCUGUUCUUAGUGAAGAAUCAUUACGGUAGCUAAGGAGCAAGCCACGGCUAACUACGUGCCAGCAGCCGCGGUAAUACGUGGGUGGCAUGCUUUGUCCGGAAUUACUGGGUGAAAAGGGAGCGCAGUCGGGUAGCCAAGUCAGCUGUGAAAACUACGGGCUUAAAUUUUAGACUGCAGUUGAAACUGGUUUUCUUGAGUGAAGUAGAGGUUGGCGGAAUUCCGAGUGUAGCGGUGAAAUGCGUAGAUAUUCGGAGGAACACCGGUGGCGAAGGCGGCCAACUGGGCUUUAACUGACGCUGAGGCUCGAAAGUGUGGGGAGCAAACAGGAUUAGAUACCCCAGUAGUC